CUUAGCUUGCUAAGGCGAUGGCGACCGGCGCACGGGUGAGUAACACGUAUCCACCUGCCUCUACUCUUGGACAGCCUUCUGAAAGGAAGAUUAAUACAAGAUGGCUCCACAUUCAUAAAGGUUCCGGUAGACGAUGGGGAUGCGUUCCAUUAGAUAGUAGGCGGGGUAACGGCCCACCUAGUCUUCGAUGGAUAGGGGUUCUGAGAGGGAGGUCCCCCACAUUGGAACUGAGACACGGUCCAAACUCUACGGGAGGCAGCAGUGAGGAAUAUUGGUCAAUGGGCGGGAGCCUGAACCAGCCAAGUAGCGUGAAGGACGACGGCCUACGGGUUGUAAACUUCUUUUAUAAGGGAAUAAGUGCGUUACGUGUAAUGUUUUGUAUGUACCUUAUGAAUAAGCAUCGGCUAAUUCCGUGCCAGCAGCCGCGGUAAUACGGAAGAUGCGAGCGUUAUCCGGAUUUAUUGGGUUUAAAGGGAGCGUAGGCGGGCUUUUAAGUCAGCGGUCAAAUGUCACGGCUCAACCGUGG
rnacentral:rRNA from 1 species